rnacentral:rRNA from 1 species
AUGGGAGCCGGCGCAGGAAAUCCCCGUCCCCGCGUCCGAGCCCCGCUACCCUCCGCAACGGCUCGACCGCCCAUCGACGCGCUGCCCCCGCGGCGCCCGACCAGUUCGGCUUUCGCGGCUGGUGGACGCGCCCUUGCUGUUGCCGACGCCGGCUCGCUGCGCCGCACUGGCCCUCACAAGCGUCUUCUGUCAAUGAUGGACUUGAGAGGUCAAGGAGUUUCCAUUGGGACAUCGGGACAUGCUCCUCCAUCUCCUCCGGUGGACGACAUCCAACAUCGCCAGUUCAUGCACUUAUGGACUGAAGAAAAAAAUGGAAAUGAAGAAGAAAAGAAUAGCAAUAUUAUCAUAUGCGAGUCUAACAAACAUCUUGGAGGUGUGAAUGCUUUCUUGGGUCUGACAAGUAAUCAAUAA